CGGGCUGUCGUAUAGUGGUAGUACGUAUCCAUGGGGUGGAUAUAGCCCCGGUCCGAUUCCGGGCAGCCCGA
rnacentral:tRNA from 1 species